UACAGAGGUCUCAAGCGUUGUUCGGAUUCAUUGGGCGUAAAGGGUGCGUAGGCGGCGCGGUAAGGCGGGUGUGAAAUCUCGGGGCUUAACUCUGAAACUGCAUUCGAUACUGCCGUGCUUGAGGACUGGAGAGGAGACUGGAAUUUACGGUGUAGCGGUGAAAUGCGUAGAUAUCGUAAGGAAGACCAGUGGCGAAGGCGGGUCUCUGGACAGUUCCUGACGCUGAGGCACGAAGGCCAGGGGAGCAAACGGG
rnacentral:rRNA from 1 species